GUAGGUGGCAAGCGUUAUCCGGGAAUUAUUGGGGCGUAAAGCGCGCGCAGGCGGUUUCUUAAGGUCUGAUGUGAAAGCCCACGGGCUCAACCGUGGAGGGUCAUUGGAAACUGGGGAACUUGUGUGCAGAAGAGAAAAGCGGAAUUCCACGUGUAGCGGUGAAAUGCGUAGAGAUGUGGAGGAACACCAGUGGCGAAGGCGGCUUUUUGGUCUGUAACUGACGCUGAGGCGCGAAAGCGUGGGGAGCAAACAGGAUUAGAUACCCUGGUAGUCCACGCCGUAAACGAUGAGUGCUAAGUGUUAGAGGGUUUCCGCCCUUUAGUGCUGCAGCUAACGCAUUAAGCACUCCGCCUGGGGAGUACGGUCGCAAAGACUG
rnacentral:rRNA from 1 species